UACAGAGGUGGCAAGCGUUGUUCGGAAUUACUGGGCGUAAAGGGCGCGUAGGCGGUCUUGUAAUUCUUGUGUGAAGUCCCUCGGCUUAACUGAGGAACUGCACGGGAUACUGCGAGACUUGAGAUCGGGAGAGGGAAGCGGAAUUCCGGGUGUAGCGGUGAAAUGCGUAGAUAUCCGGAGGAACACCGGUGGCGAAGGCGGCUUCCUGGACCGACACUGACGCUGAGGCGCGAAAGCUAGGGGAGCAAACGGG
rnacentral:rRNA from 1 species